rnacentral:rRNA from 1 species
CCCAGACUCCUACGGGAGGCAGCAGUCGGGAAUAUUGCGCAAUGGAGGAAACUCUGACGCAGUGACGCCGCGUGCAGGAAGAAGGUUUUCGGAUUGUAAACUGCUUUAGACAGGGAAGAAAAAAGACAGUACCUGUAGAAUAAGCUCCGGCUAACUACGUGCCAGCAGCCGCGGUAAUACGUAGGGAGCAAGCGUUAUCCGGAUUUAUUGGGUGUAAAGGGUGCGUAGACGGAGAAGCAAGUUAGUUGUGAAAUUCCUCGGCUUAACUGAGGAACUGCAACUAAAACUACUUCCCUUGAGUGUUGGAGAGGAAAGUGGAAUUCCUAGUGUAGCGGUGAAAUGCGUAGAUAUUAGGAGGAACACCAGUGGCGAAGGCGACUUUCUGGACAAUAACUGACGUUGAGGCACGAAAGUGUGGGGAGCAAACAGGAUUAGAUACCCUGGUAC